CAAGCAGGAAGGUGGCCAUUGCUCCUCAGAGUGGAGGAGGAGGGCAGGGAAGGUUUUGGCCGCCGCCCCCUCCUGCGCCUGGUUCUGCGUUGGGCUGGCAGGAGCACCGGGAUGGAACUGUUGGGGCUGCCGCAGGGACAUUAUGACGGGACUUCCAGCAGGGGCACAAGGUGUAUCUCCUUUCCUGUGUCCCCGUGUGUCUCUCCCCAAAUCUGUGCUGCGUUUCUGUCAUGGAGAUGUCAAUCAGGGGCCAUCCUCACAGCAUGACCUUGUCUAACAGAGAACUGUAAAGGCCCUACUUCCAAAGUUGCCCUCUGGGAAAUGAAGUCUCCUUCCCAUUUAUUCUGCAGUUGGAGGAAUCAAGGCAGGUAGUCUGGAGGGGCAGCAAGAGCGGAGGAGCUGUGCGCAGAGGGUGUGCCGAUUCCGACUCAGGGGGCUUCAUGAAUAUCUGCUGAACAAAUGAGCACAUGACCCUAUCACCUCGGUGUCCCCAGAAAGUCAUGGCAAGCUACUGUCCCCUGGAGAAGGUUGCAGUGGGAGAUGGGAUAUUGGCACCUGGCACAGCUGGAAAAGUAGGAAGCCAGAUUGGGGCAUGUGGGUGAGGGGCUCUGCGUGCUCUGGGUCCAGGCAGCAAGAGACACAUUGUCCGUGGAGAAUGCACAAACAAUCAAGCUCACUAAAAGCCCGUGUGUAUUUUGUUGUCACCAUACACUGGUAAGUUAAAACAAUGUCACUGAGAAAUUCUCAUAUCCAGGGCAGCUCAGUUUGUGUGCUGCCCAAACUCACGUGCUUCACCUCUGGCUCCGGUGGCCCUCCCGCUGGGUGUCUUGUUGGCCACUGUAGCACCUCAGGGUUGUGGUUGAGGACCUGACCUGUGCCAAGAGUGCUGUUGUCACCUUCAGCUGCAAUGGCCUUAGGAAAGAAGCCCGUGCUGGCUUUCAGGUUUCCUGGCUUCGUGGCAGGGCCAGGCCUGGCUCCUGGCACACCCAAGGGCUGAGCGGGCUCUGCCUCCAACUCUGCGCCCUGUUGGCUGCACCUUGCUUUCCCUCCAGGAGGCAGGCUGCCCGGGGCCGCAGAUGGCCGCUUCAGGGGUCAGUGCUGUGGGGAGAUGGCUGUUCUGCCACAGGGUCCCCGUUUCUUAUUUGUGAUCUGCUGCUCUUCAUGGUGCUUUAGCACAAAUAGGCAGUGACAGCUCCAGACUUCAAAACUCUCCUGGGGACAGGAACGCAGCCUGGCCAGGGUCCCCCAUGCAGCUCUCCUGGUAAGAAGAGGCGGGGCAGGGACACACGAAGGUGCCUUGGAACAGGUGGCUUCCUGAGAGCAAGGGGAGUGAGCAGGGGAGGGCCUCUCAGGGGGCAGAGAAGGGCAGGUCUUGGAGGCUGAUCCAUCUUGUCCUGUGCUCUUCCUGCUCCAUAAAAACAGACACAUUGCAAAAGGGAAAGAAGGAAAAAUCAGUCCUUUCGAGUGUGGUUAGAGCCCCUCCCUCUGCUUCUUGCCCUCUUACUCUCCUGUUUUCUUCCCCAGAGGAAGGGAUGUGCAUUUCAGUUCUUGAAGACUUCAGCCAGCUCAGGGCCCAGCUCGAGUGCCCUAGGACCCACCGUGUACCCAGCACAGGACACCCUGACUCCUGCCACCCUCAAAAUAGCCCCCGGAAGGUUAUAUUUUGUUGUUUGUUUUAAUUCAACAAAUAUCAGAGUGUUUCCUCCGUCCUGGACACUGGGCCACAGUGGUCAACAGGUUAGACAGUGUUCCACCGUCAUGGCUCCGACCGUCUACAGCGGGGAGACUGUGAGAGGUCUGAUAAAUGAUCUACAGGGAGUCAUCCGGGUGAUAAGCUGCAGAGCCACUGGGGGGUACCCCGGGUUGGAGAGUCAGAGGAGGUAACAUGGAGGUGAGAGAUAAAGGAAGCUGGGAGAACCAGCUCCCAGCUCUUCAAAGAACAGGGCCAAGGAGGAGCAACAGAGGCAGAGGGAGCGGUAGGCCCAAAGGAUGGGAAAGGGCUCUGCAGACCCCCAAAAACAAAGGCAGUGAGAUUGGCCAAAGUGAGUGGUCCACAGAGGAGAGGGGCAGGUGAGAGGUGCUGAGGAGGGGCGUGGGUCACCAGGAGAGUUGGAGUUUUACUUGGGGAGCAAUGGACAGUCACUGAAAGCAUGUAAGAAGGAGAAACAUGUGCCUUUGUUUGUGUUUCAUGAGCUCGUCCUGGCCACUGUGUCGAGAGUGCAAUAGAGUGGACAUUGGCUGAGAGGUCUGUGGGGAAACCACUGUGCUGACAGAAGUAAAAGAUGGCGGAAUGGUGACGGUGGCGGUGCAUGUGGCGUCUCUGACUCCAUCGCAGUCCUUUGGUUUGGAGAUAUUCUGACCCCUUCCUCUCCCCGGCCCCCUCCACACCCAUCUGCCCAUCUUCAGGCUUUGUGAGGAUUGGGGACCUUCUCUCACUUCGUCUCCCUAACUGCAGAGACUGGCUGGGCGCUUUGCAUUGUCACGGGGGGAUACCAGACAACUGAUGCCCAUCAACAGAUAAUGGAAACUUGAUGUGUUUAUUGAAUACGUAAAUUCUUAGCUAUUUAUUAAAAGAAAUGCUCUGAGGAUAGCUCUUAGGUAAUGCUGCUUGGAAUUACUACAUUCGAUCCAACGGCAAUAAAACUGUAUUUGCGGCUUUAAAACUCAUGGUAGCUGUGAGACCUGGAGUAAGUCUCUUGGCCUCUCUGCAAGGCCUGUUUCCCGCUGCGUGGGGCAUGUCAAAUGUACCCGUUUAUCAGGCGGGGCUCUGCUCCUGGCUCUGCCGGGGAAGAGUGCCCUGCACCCGAGAGGGAGAAGUUUGCACUGGGUCCAUCCUGAGCAAAGACACACGGGCCAGCUCUGGGCUCUUGGGAAAGAUAUUGACAUGACAAGGGUGGAUUAUUUUUAUAAUAAAAAAAGGUCAAGUUAGCCAUGGUUGGUCUAAAAACAAGCAUGGUUGGUUCUCCCCCUGAAUUCUCUCUCAAUCCACCAGUCUCAACAUCCUCCCUGCCCCCUCAUGGUCUGGACCCCCAGCCCCAGCCCCCUCUUUCAAGGGCCCCUCUCUCUCUGCUUCCCUUCAUGCUCCACGCUCCAUGUGCUCAUCGCUCAGCCGCCCAAGUGACAUUUUAACAACAUAAAUUAAAUCACCUCCUGCUCUGCUUAAAACACUUUAGGGAUUACACGACAGUCCAGAUAAAUCUCUCUGCUCCUCACUGUGCUCUUGAAGGACAGCCCGGCCUUCCUCUUCAGCUUCAACCCCCACCUCUCCCUCAGCUGGCUGCAGCCACACCGGGCUCCUCAGUUCUCCAGGUCUGACCCCCAGGGCCUCCCUGACUCUGUGGCCUCCAGUCGGCAAGCUCUGCCCCUCGCUUUUUGCAAGGAUGGCUCUCGGGCCUCAGCAUAAAUGUCACCUGUUUGGAGAGGUCCUCCCUGCCUGGCACAUAAUAGAUGCUCAAUAAGUAGUCACUACGUGAACAGAUUCUCCCCACUCUGCAUGACCCCCAGCAUGGAGAACAGAAGAGGGAAAGAAGUAAUCUUGGCAUCUUGAGGUUUCAUUUUGGGCAACACUAGAUGACAGUGCCCUGGCCUUGGUGGUAGUUUGAGCUCCCACGAAGGUGCGCCCCACCCUGUGCAGGCAAACCACAGGCCCCGUGCUGCCCACUAGCGUGGGUCUAUUUGAACAUGCAUGUAGAACAAUCCCUCUCAAAGCUCAGACUUCCAGAAAUACUUCAAGGGAGUUCUCGGUGGGCAUCUGAGGUCUGACCUGGUUGUGGGGAGCCGAGGCCUGUCCGUCUUGAGCCUUGUGCUAGUGACACUCACUAAUGGCGGCCCACUUCCCUCAUGGCCUCUGCUCUCAGUGGUAAAUCAAAUUGUUUCUGCCUUCCUGCCCAUCUUGCAUCUUUGAACAGGGAGUCAGGCUCUGCACACACUCUAGGAAUCUGAGGGAGGCCGUCACGAAGCACUGGGGCUCAGGUCUGGGGGAAAGGUGUGAACAGAGCGGGCUGUCACGAUGGCGCAUGGACCACAAGCCAAAAUCAAGACCUCAAACUGGCUGCUGGCGGAGUUUCGGGCUUAGGCUGUCUACUUUUUCACAGUCAAAAAGGAGGAGAUAGAGUUUGGAGCCAAGGCAUGUCCCUUCACCUCCUUCCUCCUGGAAGCCACAGAUGUCCCCUGAGUGCCUGUUCACUCCGGGGCUAACCCCUGCUGUGGCAUUGGAGGGAGCCCCCCCCAUGUGGGUGAGGAGCUGAGGGCCUGGGCAGCACUAUCUCCCCUGCCAUGCUUCUCCUUGUCGAGAAGCACUUCUGAGUUGGGAAGAGGUUAGGGGAAAGACUGGGACUUAUUGGCUUGCCAUGGUCCCUCCCAUGGCACACAGGUUGGUGGCUGUGACUGAGCCUUAUCAGAUGCGUUGGUGAGAAGGUUGGAACUUGUGGCCUGAUGCACCUUGGGCAAGUUGCCUGAACUCUCUGGACCUCACCUUUUUCUCUGUAAAGUGGGGCUGAUGACACCAGCCUCACGGGGUGUCAUGCAGUGGCCAGAGCUGACAGGUCAAGGGCUGAGCCAUUUUGUAAGUGAGGGCCCUGGAUUCAGAGAAGUGGAGUAGAUGUCAAAGUCCAGCUCGACCCCAGGACACCUGCCUGUCUCCACAGCACCCUGCUCCUUCUCUCCCGCCUGCCUGGGAGCCUGGCAUGGCCUGCGCUAAUGUGUGACUCCCUGUUCCCCAGUGAGGAGCUUCAGGCCCCAUGGUGACAGUCUCUGUGGACAUGUGGAUAGGCUUUCGUGUCAAGCUAACUGAUCUGUGGCCCCCUGGACUCUCAGAGGGCCAUUGGAAGCCACCAGAAAGCUUUCAACUAGGGAAAAUGUCGAAAGAUGUUCAACUACGUCUGGUUUGAAAUGACCAUGUGGCAGCUGGGGAAGACUUGGAGGGAGUGGCCAUGGGGAGCCUGAGGUGGUGGGAGACGUGCUGGCUCCGGGAACACAGUGUGGCUUUGAUUCCCAGGGGCUGCCCUCUGCCUGCAGUGCUCUGCUCAGCUGCAAGAACAGGCUGCCCCGCCCCCGCUGACUACAUCUGUCUGGUCUGUUUAUUUCCUUGCUGCCCCUGAGGCCAGGGAGAGAAUAGGAGGGAGCACCUACCCAGGCCAGGUUCUUGAAAACUCAGAAAACCAUGUUAUCCCAGGAACGGCUGGCAAGGAAAGAAAAUGCUGUCAUUUACAUUUUACAGCUGGGGAAACUGAGGCUCAGAGAAGGAACGUGACUUGCUCAAGGUCAUGCAGCAGUUUGGGGGCAGAGUUGGGGUCUCUACCAGGCUCUCUAUAUGGCCUCUGCCUCUCCUUCAUUGAGGCUAGGAUGGGGGUGUCUUUUGGCCUUCAGGGGUUCCUUGCACCUUGGAAAGGAAGGAAAUAGUGGAACAAAAUAAAGACAAAUUUCCUGCUUCUUUGGCAUCUGCUCCUUUUAGAGGUCUCUCUGCCACGACAAUGAGUGCUUAUAUGUUAUAAAUCACAUGACCCUUUUUAUUGAACAUAGGAGCCUGUCAGUCUCUACGCAAACUUCUUAGGUGGUAAUAUCUCAAAAAUGUUACAAGACCCUAUAAGGUGGGUGCCAUAGCUCUGCCCUUGCUGUGCAGAGGAAACCAAAGUCCAAACUUUCUAUAA